CUACCGGGGUGACAGCCAGGUCUGCCCACCCCUUGACUGUCAAUGGAAGGCAGAGCUAUGAACCUCACCUCAUGGUGAGUACCCUGUCCCCAACGUGGUUCCUGGGACCUCUGUGAUGAACAGAGCAGUCUCUCACUGGGGUCAGGGACCCAACCAGCAUCCCUGUGCAUACCAUGAGCCAAUUGAGUAGCUGCGGACCUUGAGUCUCACUGGGGAAUGUCUCUCUGAUUUCCUGGCUUCCACCUGUCCUGACUCAUCCUCCAGUCCUUCAUUGCUCCAUCGUGGAUCCCCAUCCUGGGGGACCAGCAGUGAAGUUGCCUAGCUUCAUACCUGCCGGGUCCCAGAAAGACAGCUUGACCUGGACCCAGGCAGGGGGUCCUCGAGUGUCCACACACACACACACACACACACACACACACACACACACACCCCUUUCCCAAAGCAAGGGCAGCGCCGCCCUUGCCUGCCUGGGGAGUGGAUUUGAAGCACGGAUGCAGUUGCCUGGUUUCCAUUAAUUGGGUCUACGCGGGUUUCUAUUUUCUCCCAGAAUACCGAUUGAUCUCGGCGAGCCAGUGGCAACAAGGAUCGUGGACUUCCAUGUGGUUUCCAGUGGCCGCACAGAUCGUGGACAUCACCUUGGCUGCCGGCAGCAGCAUGAACCACAGACAUCAACGAAGUCUCUGUUGGCAGUACAGACCACGGACAUUGGCAUGACUGCAGUGGUCUGCAUGGCUCCUGCUCCUGAAUCCUCACUGGGAUAAGGCUCUGGCCUUGGCACAGGUUCCUCCCUCCCCCCAGCAAGCCAGGAUCAUUAUGGGUGGAAUCAAGAUGGUCAAUCAAGACUUCAGACACGGGAGCUGAGAUGGCUUCUGCGCUUCAGAAAGAUGUGGUAGCUUUUCCAGGAGUGGGCAAUUUCUCUGCCUCCAUGAGGCUGCUUCUCAAGUCUGACAAAACAUUCCAUAAUAAAAAAGUUC